UUCCUUUCCGACAAUUUUUUUGAAACAGCAUCAAUUAUCGCACUCGUGGCAUCUUUUCUUCACCAUCUUCUUCUUCUUCAGUGUGUUUUUUCUGCUUUUUUUACCCAAAAACAAAAACCCUAAAUUGAAAAAGGGAUCCAAUUUCAUGUUUUCCAUCGCAAUUUUCUAAAAUGAAACUUAAAUUGAAAUCGUGGGUUCCAUAAGUAUGGGUUAUGGGGGUUGUUCACCAUCCUUAGAGAAAACGAAGAGUUCUCAAAGUUUUGAUUUGUAAGUUUACACUAGUUCGAAUCUGCAGAAACCUUAUUGUCAUUAUGGAGACAUUGUUAUUCUUCGUAGGGCAAGAACAGAUAGCAACUAUGAAAAUCUUUUUUGGGGUUGUCCAUAUUUUAAGGUAACAUGUAAUGGUAAAUCUUGUUCCUGUAAAAGUUCUGGAAUAAAUUAUUGUAAAUCGUCUACUUAUGACAUUGUUUGUUAGUUUCUUAAUCUAUUUAGGGAUUUAUUCAGAUUGCAUGUGACUUCUUUGUUUGGUUAUAUGAAUAAGUUGGAGAUGAAAAUGAACAAUUCAAGAUGAAGCAAAAAAGUAGGUUGAAAAAGUUAACAAAAGAAAACGAGGAAUAAAAAACAGAGGUUAAAAAAUUAAGGCUCACAACUGCUGAACUAGAAAUUGCUAUGAAGAACAUGAUGAAGUGGAAAAAGUUUUAAAAGAUUGUGUUUUAUCUUAUUUUCAUUGUAUUAAUAGUCAUGGUGUUUUUAUUUCAUUAUGUUAGCAAUUCAUGAUGUACUAAAAUUGAAUGAUCGGACAAGUUGAAUUACAAGAGUUGGUUUAGUUGAAUUAUGUGUCAUGUUUAAGUUGAAUGCAUCAGUGGAAUUAUGUAACAUUGGAAUACGUACCAAUUGAAUUUCAAUGUAACAAUUUUAUUUGAAUGCGGCAAUGGUAUUAUGUACCAGUUAAAUUUCAAUGAAUUAUGUAUCAUUUUU
rnacentral:lncRNA from 1 species